rnacentral:misc_RNA from 1 species
GAACGCACAUUGCGCCCGGCAGUAAUCUGCCGGGCAUGCCUGUCCGAGCGUCAUUUCUGCCCUCGAGCGCGGUUAGCUUGCUAUCCGCUGCCCGGUGUUGGGGCGCUACGGUCCAGGGCCUCGUGCCCUGUCCGUAGGCCCCGAAAUGAAGUGGCGGUCCCGCCGCGGCGCCCCCUGCGUAGUAGUCUUACAACUCGCAUCGGGACCCGGUGGAGGCCAGCCGUCAACCCAUCUUUCUAUGGUUUGACCUCGGAUCAGGUAGGGUUACCCGCUGAACUUAAGC